rnacentral:tRNA from 1 species
GGGUUUUAGUUUAGUUUAAAAUUUAUAUGUUGCAUAUAUAAGAUUAUUGACUCUA